UACGUAGGGUCCGAGCGUUGUCCGGAAUUACUGGGCGUAAAGAGCUCGUAGGUGGUUUGUCGCGUUGUUCGUGAAAACUCACAACUCAAUUGUGGGCGUGCGGGCGAUACGGGCAGACUUGAGUACUGCAGGGGAGACUGGAAUUCCUGGUGUAGCGGUGGAAUGCGCAGAUAUCAGGAGGAACACCGGUGGCGAAGGCGGGGUCUCUGGGCAGUAACUGACGCUGAGGAGCGAAAGCGUGGGGAGCGAACAGG
rnacentral:rRNA from 1 species